rnacentral:rRNA from 1 species
AAGGUUAGAAAUCCAGCUGCAUCCUCUCCGAAAGGAGAGGAGCCUUCGAGGGUGCUGGAC